AACUAAAUCACUUAGGUAGUAACAUCAUUUAAACCUUACAAAAUGGCGGCAUUUCAUCUUAUUAGAGGAACAUGUUAUUUAAUCGAUAUUACACGCUUAUUCUCACUUAUUUUUAAAAUUUUAUAUACCUCCGUCCUAAAUCAAUUAUAAAAUAUUUUUAAACAAAAAUUCUUUAAGGGUAGGUAAAGGUGUAAACCAAAAAUUAGAUCUUAUGUGUUACACUAAACCAAAUUUAAGGAUCUUAUAAUUAAAAUUUAAUUAAAAAAGGAUUUAAAAGUAAUAUCUUAAUAAUAUUUAAAUUUGAAUAAGAAAAUAAAUGUGC
rnacentral:rRNA from 1 species